GACGCGCGGGGCGGCCAGGUUACGAAGGAGCGUCCAGUCAAGUGGCGAUGCGCGGAGCUCCCGAGUGACGAAGGUGCGUCCUGUUGAGUGACGGUGCGCGGAGUGACCGAGUGACGAAGGAGCGUCCACUGUUCGUGUAACGGUGCGCGGGGCAGCCGUAUCGAGAAUGUUGUUGAGAAUGGUGCGCGGAGGCGUCCAGAUAACCUGUUCGUUAGCCGACCGAGUGAAAAGGAGAAUCGGCCGAAUGAACCACAGCUGGGCCGCGAUCCGGUCGCCACACCAUCAGCCAAGUAUAAUAAAUGAUGAGUCGGCAGGGCGGCGUUAUUUGUCUCAGUAAGCCUGCGAGUUAGCAAAUACACGUACAUCCAAAAAUAUUUUUUGUUGGACUAAAGUGUCCACAUAUGGAUGCUAUUUUGCAAGAAUUAAAGACCACGGAUGGCCGUGCAUGCAUGCACGAAUUAAGCGGUGUGGAAACUGAAAGGUAAGCAAUUUCAGACUUCAUGAUGAAAUAACAUCUACGUUACUCAUUUUAAGAGCGUGCAAUUAAUCGUGGGUGUUAAUCGCCGCAUAACUAAGACCAGCAUGCUGCGUAUUAUACACAUGUAAUGGUGGGCCGGUCCUACCCAGGCACUCAAGCCGCAAGCGUUGCUGCAUGCUUUCCUUACACGUGCACAUCCUGCUUCACAAACUGACGCGAUUUAUGGGCAGAAAUUGGUAGAAUGGAGGAAGGUACCGUCAUGGUGGAGCGGACUGUCCUGGUUGUGGCGUUG
rnacentral:lncRNA from 1 species